rnacentral:rRNA from 1 species
CUACCCCUACGGGGGGCAGCAGUGGGGAAUAUUGGACAAUGGGGGGAACCCUGAUCCAGCGACGCCGCGUGGGCGAAGAAGUAUUUCGGUAUGUAAAGCCCUAUCAGCAGGGAAGAAGAAAUGACGGUACCUGAGUAAGAAGCACCGGCUAAAUACGUGCCAGCAGCCGCGGUAAUACGUAUGGUGCAAGCGUUAUCCGGAUUUACUGGGUGUAAAGGGAGCGCAGGCGGCACGGCGAGCCUGAUGUGAAAGCCCGCGGCCCAACCGCGCGACUGCAUUGGGAACUCCCG